rnacentral:rRNA from 1 species
GACGAACGCUGGCGGCGUGCUUAACACAUGCAAGUCGAACGGAAAGGCCCUGCUUUUGUGGGGUGCUCGAGUGGCGAACGGGUGAGUAACACGUGAGUAACCUGCCCUUGACUUUGGGAUAACUUCAGGAAACUGGGGCUAAUACCGGAUAGGAGCUCCUGCUGCAUGGUGGGGGUUGGAAAGUUUCGGCGGUUGGGGAUGGACUCGCGGCUUAUCAGCUUGUUGGUGGGGUAGUGUCUUACCAAGGCUUUGACGGGUAGCCGGCCUGAGAGGGUGACCGGCCACAUUGGGACUGAGAUACGGCCCAGCCUCCUACGGGAGGCAGCAGUGGGGAAUAUUGCACAAUGGGCGGAAGCCUGAUGCAGCAACGCCGCGUGCGGGAUGACGGCCUUCGGGUUGUAAACCGCUUUCGCCUGUGACGAAGCGUGAGUGACGGUAAUGGGUAAAGAAGCACCGGCUAACUACGUG